rnacentral:lncRNA from 1 species
GCUGAAUUGUGUGUGCCUCCACAGCUAUAACCUGUAGGCUCUAGCAAUGGCGAGCCCGCCAAAAGGCUCUUGCACUCGUCACGCCAUUGCAAGCAUCCCAGCUGCUUGCCCCUCGGCUGGUCCUUGGCUGAUGACGAUGAUGAUGUUGUCCUCCAUGGUCGGGCUGCUCGUGAGCUGGAUGGAGAAGAACACAACGAUGACUCAGGUACGCCGCUGCGGCCACCUCGCGUCAUGCUGAUCUAGCCAUGGCUCUAUCCUCCCUGAGCUCACUUCUUCGUCCUACCAACCUCGAUCUUCCGUGUACCUUCGCCGACCACUGCAUUGAUCCUUGGAUAAUUCUCCCUAUGGUCCAAGGAGCAUCUCUUCUUGACCUUGCAAGACUUUGCCUUGUGAGUCACUCCUCUCCAUAUUGUCUGUGUCAUGCUGAUUCCUACCAGCCCUCUUCUCUCCCUCAGUCCCGUCUAUCCCUCUUGAGCUUGUAGUUCCAAACGAGUUGCUUGUUAUGUGUGAAGAAGGUGUAAUCUUGCUUGAUGUAGGUAAUGUGCUUGUAUGAGUUAAUUAAAAAAA